UUUCCGUAGGUGAACCUGCGGAAGGAUCAUUAUUGGAUUUUGAAACUUCAGGCUGCUGCUGGCUCUCCUCGGAGGGCAUGUGCACGCUUGUUGUCCAUUAUUUCUCCCACUGUGCACAAAUUGUAGACCUUUCAGUAGGCCUAUGUUGUUUUUCACAAUCUCUGAAUGUAAUAGAAUGGUUUUGAAUCUUGGGAAAUACAAUACAACUUUCAGCAACGGAUCUCUUGGCUCUCGCAUCGGAUGAAGAACGCAGC
rnacentral:misc_RNA from 1 species